GCUGGUUGCCCGUGAACGAAUGUCAGUUCCCCCUUAAUUUUACCCCCCAGAAAAAUACAAUUACUCAUCCGUAAAAAUUAAGAGCAAUUUAAAGGAGGUACAGCUCCCUUAAAACAGAACACAACCUCCCCUAGAGGAUAAGCUAAGUACCCUUAAACCUGUAGGCCCUUAAGCAGCCACCAACAAAGAAUGCGUCAAAGCUCAACACACUAAAAAUAUAAGAACCCAUGCGACUCCCUCCCCCCUAACGGGCUAACCUAUUAAAAUAGGAGCAUUAAUGCUAGAAUAAGUAACUAAGGAACUUCCUUCUAAAGCACAAACUUACAUCUCACAUUAUUAACAGGCCUACUAAUAAACCAACCACUACAAGACCAACUAUCCAAUGCCCUGUUAGACCGACUCAGGCGUGCUAAAUUAGAAAGAUUUAAACCUGUAAAAGGAACUAGGCAAAUUCAAGGCCCGACUGUUUACCAAAAACAUAGCCUUCAGCAAAAAUACUCAAGUAUUGAAGGUGAUGCCUGCCCAGUGACAUUAAGUUUAACGGCCGCGGUAUCCUAACCGUGCAAAGGUAGCGCAAUCAAUUGUCUCAUAAAUUGAGACUUGUAUGAAUGGCCAAACGAGGUCUUAACUGUCUCUUACAGGUAAUCAGUGAAAUUGAUCUCCCCGUGCAAAAGCAGGGAUAAACCCAUAAGACGAGAAGACCCUGUGGAACUUAAAAACCAACAGUCACUCUACAAACACUACAAACCUAUCAGGUUUACUACCAACAGACAGCUGACUUGCAUUUUUUCGGUUGGGGCGACCUUGGAGAAAAACAUAUCCUCCAAAAACAAGACCACCCCUCUUGACUAAGAUCAACUACUCAAAGUGCUAACAGCAACCAGACCCAGCACAGCUGAGCAAUGAACCAAGCUACCCCAGGGAUAACAGCGCAAUCUCCUUCAAGAGCCCUUAUCGACAAGGAGGUUUAC
rnacentral:rRNA from 1 species